rnacentral:rRNA from 1 species
CAGGAGGCGUGAAAAGACCUCGUGUGCUGGCAUGGGCGUGGAGUUGCCCCUCUCAUUGAUGAUCUCGACCAGGGCGUCAUACUCCUCAUCAAGACCAUUGACAAUAAACGAGUUGAACUCGGAGUCGGUGAGGGGCUGUCCAAUGGAGGCCAGCGUGUCGGCGAGACUCUUGACUUUGUUGUAGAACUCAGUGGCGGUGGAGUCAAGCUUCUGACACUCCCCAAGUUGGCGACGGAGCCCAGAUACACGAGCCUGCGACUGUGCCGCAAACGAGCGCUCAAGAAUAGUCCAUGCCUCGUGGGACGUCUUGGCGAAGACAACAAGCCCAGCAACGGCCGGAGAGAGCGACCCCUGGAUGGAGGAGAGGUUCGCCUGAUCCUGCCCUGUCCAGACACGGUGAGCCGGAUUAUAGACCGGACCGUGCACGCUGUCAACCAGCGCAGGAGGGCAAAGGAGAGAGCCGUCGACAUAGCCAAGCAGAUAGUGACUCCCAAGAAGCGGAAGAACCUGCGCGCGCCAGAAGAUGUAAUUGUCCGACGACAACUUGAUGGUGAUGAGAUGGCCGAAGUGAAACGGCAGCGGCGGCUGCGAUCCCAUCG